rnacentral:lncRNA from 1 species
GCUAGCUUCACAUUGUUGCUGGGCUCUUCCUUUCUCAUUCCCUGGAUGAUGGCUGUCAGGAUCUCAUUGGAUUUGUCUUGAAGUUGCUCUGGGUCGAUAUCCUGGCAGAUGUACCCAAUGGCCUCCAGCGUGGACUCCUUCAUGUGCUCAGUGCUGUGCUGGUUGGUGACGUUGGCCACCAGCUGGGGGAUGAGCUCAGGCCAUUGGUUCAUGGGGAUCUCGGCGCAGGCGAUGCCGGCCACGCACUGCGAGGCAGAGCUGGGUCGGUACGUCUCUGUGCCCAACGUCUGCAGAACGUAGUUCUUGACCUCCCUGCGGGCGUUGGCGUCGAUGGCGAGCCAUCGCUGCUGGUACUGAGCCUUGAUGUCGGGGUCCUUGGAAGUGAGAGAGUUCUUGAUCUGCAGGCCGGCCGCCACCCGCGCCACCUGGCUGUUGCCGGGGUUGGCCAGCACUCUGGACAGUUCCACCAGGAAGGUUGGCAGGUUCUCGAUCGCCGCCUGCUCCAGGAACUUCUGCGCCGCUUCGAGCUCCGAGCGGUCCGGCGACACCGUCUUCUCCAGGAUGGUGAUGAGCUCCAUGGCGGCGGCGUGGCGGCUCCGGAGCGGCGGAGGGGAGGGAGGAGGGGAGCGAUGGGGCGGGGGGGGCGGCGGCGCUCCGGGUACUGCGGGAGGCGGCGGCGGCGGCGGAGGGAGAAAAAGGGCCGCGCGGGCGGAGCGGUGCGCGCGCGCACACCGAGCGGCGGAGGGAUACCACGGCCGCGGCCCGCCGCCCCGCGCCGACGCGCUGAUUGGUGGGAGCCGGCAGGCGGCUCGCGCUCCUAUUGGUCGGCCCGCGCCGGGGGGAGGGCGUUGGCGGGCCGCGGGGAGGAAGAGAGGAGGCGGGGCUUCCGGCGGCGCAGCGCGCUGAUUGGGCGGCGCCGCGAAGGGCGCCCCGGCGGCGGCUGCGGC